rnacentral:tRNA from 1 species
GUCCCCGUAACUCAGUCGGUCAGAGUGUGGGUCUUAUGUGCCUAAAGUCGUGAGUUCAAACCUCACCGGGGACA